rnacentral:rRNA from 1 species
UACGGGGGGGGCAAGCGUUGUUCGGAAUUACUGGGCGGAAAGGGCUCGUAGGUGGCCAACUAAGUCAGACGUGAAAUCCCUCGGCUUAACCGGGGAACUGCGUCUGAUACUGGAUGGCUCGAGUUCGGGAGAGGGAUGCGGAAUUCCAGGUGUAGCGGUGAAAUGCGUAGAUAUCUGGAGGAACACCGGUGGCGAAGGCGGCAUCCUGGACCGACACUGACACUGAGGAGCGAAAGCCAGGGGAGCAAACGGG